GGGCCGCUCCUGCGGCAUAUGGAGGUUCCCAGGCUAGGGGUCUAAUCAGAGCUGUAGCCACCGCCCUAUGCCAGAGCCACAGCAACGCAGGAUCUGAGCCACGUCUGCAACCUACACCACAGCUCACGGCAACGCUGGAUCGUUAACCAACUGAGCAAGGGCAGGGGCUGAACCCGCAACCUCAUGGUUCCUAGUCAGAUUUGUUAACCACUGCGCCACGACGGGAACUCCUAUUAAGAUCUAUAAUUGUUCUCAUUGUACACUUCCAGCUAAACUCAUUUAUGAAAGUCCUAGCCCAGAAUUGCUUCCUUUUAUUUUGAUUAUGGAAACAAAGAGGAAGUUAUUAGAAGCCAAGAGUAGUGAGGAAGGUGGGAGAUAGGUUUGGGGUUUCAUUCAUGACCAGGAGCCAAGUGAUGACUAAAAUCCUUGUGUGGUUCAUUAAGUGACCAAGACAACUCUAACCAGGUUGAGAAAAAGUCGCCUGUGAUACAAUACACAAGUGGUAUGGGGGCAUUAGGUCAAGGACAAUGGGGUGUGGGUUACAUAACCUCUGGCAUUGUGGUGCAUCCACCCUCCCACAAGCAGCUAUUGAUAACUUGCACCAAUUAGGGUCAACAAGGGGAAAUUUGAGGAAAGGGGAGCUAUCCAUGAAGAAUAUAGUGACAUGGGAAAAAUAUUUAUCUGUCUGUCUGUCUGUCUGUCUGCCUAUCUAUCUAUCUAUCUAUCUAUCUAUAGAAAUAGAUAUAGAUUCUGGAAGUGGAUUCUUAUGUAAUGGACAAUCUUCAUUGUGAAUAAUUCACAUUGAGCUAAUUAUAGGCUUAUGAAGAUGCUACUGAUUCUCCUUCCAGAAACUCGUAGCAAUUCCUGGGUGGGUCUAAAUGAUGACAGUGGAGCUUCAGACUCUGGUAAGACUCUACACUCUGGUGUAGACACCAUAUUACACAAAUGGAUUUUGUCCUCAGAUUACAGUUAGAACUGACAUUUUAAAUUAUUGCAACAGGUAAUAAAUGAAUGAUACCUUGUGGAAAGGGGAAAAUGAUUUAAUUUAUAGGCAAGAGUUUGUUGUAUAUUUUUAAAGGCUGUGUUUUGGAGUUUUCUUGUGGCUCAACAAGUUACGGAUCCGGUGUUGUCACUGCUGUGGCUCUGGUUACAGUUAUGAUGCAGGUUCAAUUCCUGGCCUGGGAACUUCUGCAUGCCUCAGGUGUGGCCAAAAAAUAAAUUUAAAAAAGACUCUUUUAUCCUCAAAAGCAAUGCUUUUAUCAUAAAAUAUAUUUGUAUAUAGUAAAUGACAGUCUGUCUAGCUAUCUGAUAAAAUAUCCACCAGCUAACCACUUCAUGUUUUUAGCAAUUCAGGGGAGACUCGUAAGAUUAAGGACAAACAGAUGUAACAGUAAUAGCCAGUAAUAGUUUUAAACAACAAGCCUUCUUUUUUAUUUAUUUAAACAUUACACCAAUAAAGUUCCUUUUGAGUCAUGGACUUAAGCAUUUGCUCAUAUUAUUUUCUCAACCCGUCAUUUCAUGAGUUCAUUUUACUCCUCUUGCCUCUCAAACAGCUUUGCACAUACUUCCUAAAAUUGUAUUUCAUUAAUAUGAGCUGUAUUUUUAUAAGAUACAUUUUGUAUUCCAUCCUAUAAAAGCUGAAAAAGAUGUGCUUUAAAAGAAAAUCUUAUUUUAUUUAUUAAUUUAUUUUUGGGCCAUACGCAUGGCACGUGGAAGUUCCCAGGCCAAGGCGGAACCCAUACCACAGCAGCCACCUAAGCCACUGCAGUGACAAUACUGCUGGAUCCUUAACCCACUGCACCACAAAAGAACUUUUUUUUUUAAAGAAAAUCUUAUUUUAGAACUAAGGUAUGCAUUUUAAAACCACUGCACCUUAAUGGGAAAGCCCUCAAAAUCAGUUCACUUCUCUAAACUGUCAUUUCUUCACUUGGGAACAUAUAUUUGAGAUCUUUUUUGACAUGGUAUGCUGAUUUCAGAUUUAUUUCUCCUUAUAAUUGAAAUCUGAAUAUUUCUUUGAGGAAAUACCAUUUAAUUUUAGAGAAGUGUGACACCCUAAGGACUUAAUGUUGGGUGGCAUUUAAGUGACUUGAGGUGUGCUCACUUCCCAGCACCUUGGUCAGUAUUAGCACACAUUGCAGGGGACCAAAGCCACAGGGGAGGAAGUGCAAGGGCUCAAUCUACUAGGAAGUAACCCAAAAGCAACACUGCUUUGGGUAAUCUCAGACUUCAUCAGAUUUCAGGACAAUAAUUAUGAGUGUUAGAGAUAAAAUUAGCCUAUUCAGCAAAUCAUAUAGUUUAUUUCUUAGAGUUUCUUUACAUUGGACUAGGGUUACAUUAAUAAAACUAGGUAGAGGGAGUUCCCAUUGUGGAUCAUUGGGUUAAGGAUCUGGCAUUGCAGUAAGCUGCAGCAUUGGUCAUAGAUGUAGCUCUGACCCCGCGUUGCUGCGGCUGUGGUGUAGGCCCAUAGCUGCAGCUCCAAGUCUACCUCUGGCCUGGGAAAUUCCUUGUGCCUCAGGUAUGGCUGUAAAAAGAAAGAAAGAAAAAAAAAAACAGGUAGAAUUUGUCACAGAACCAGAAGGUAGAUCCAAAGAUAGUGCUCCUUUGUGAAAAAUAGAAUGCAAAAUUAUAAAUAUAAAAUUGGGAAAUUAAAUUCAGAGCCUUACAAGGGGGUACGCAAGUGAGGGACCAUGAAACUCAAGGUUCUGUGCUUGGUGGUAAAUUUGCCUCUCUCUCUCUAUACCUUUGGAAACUGUAGACAUUUUGUCUUUUUUUUUUUUUUUUUAACCACACCAGAAAUAGUCUUUCAUGAAUCCCAGAGUGUUGGGUACCAACCCCAACCCAAAUGUAUUUCAGUCUUUUAUGCCCCAGCUCCAUACAAUGUAACACGAGGGCGAGUUUAAUGUGACUUGCCCUGUGUUCUCCUUGUUAGACUUGUCCUUUUUACACAACGUCAUGGAUGGUGACAGCGCACAAGGCUGUCUUCUUAGCCCACUUUUGGGGGUGAUGAAAAUCAUGUAAUCUCUGAUGAGGUUGCUCUUAGAUCUUGUGAAACCAGAGAAGUAUCCAAAGAGGGUGUUUUAGAUAAGUUGCCAGAUUCCUGGGAGACAGUGCACAAUGGCUGUGGUGUGGAAGGGCCCUCCAAGGACCUGCUUAUAGGACACUGCUCAAGGGAAGAGGAUGGGACGAGUGGGGCUUGAACUAAAGUCAGCAAAGUUGUCAGGUCCUGAAGGGGCCAUGGGCUUGCCAACCUAAAACUGUUCUCACUUCUCUGUCCCUUUCUUUCUGGGUGAAGGUUAGAGUCUCCUCCAUGCAUAGAGAGGCUACCAGGGAUGAGGGGACAGCCAAGGAGGGCAAGGAGGGUACACGGGAAACCCUGGAAUGAGGGAUAGGGGACAAGGGCAGAAGGCUCAGAGAUAAGCCUCAGCACAGCUCAGAGACUUCAUUCCUUUGAGAAAUAAAGAAUAUUUUGAAACCCCUGAUCCAAAAAGAUGUGCCUCAAGAAAUGAAUUACCCUAAAUGCCAAGUCUGAUUAUAAUCGCAGUACGUGAUCCUCACAUCUUUGACAAAACUUAAUGAAAUGAAACCUUAAGCCCCCUUGGAAACAUGACUAUUUUAAUGAUCAGACAACUCUACGGUACCACGCGUGAGUUCCGGAAGACCUUUAAAAUAUUUCAUCUUGGCAGGUUCUUAAAAGAGAAACACAAAAGUGGCCAAUAUUACUCUCCAUCCAUUUAUAAGUUCAGAGAAAGUUUGGCAAUUAUUCCAGAUCACCACAUCCAUAGGCUUUAGCUGUCCUAGCAGCCUUGUUUACUUUUCUUCUACCAAUAAUUUGGGUGGUUUAAACAAAACAAGAGAAAAAAACAAUCUUCUAAAAGGAUGAGGAGUAAGAGUGAGCCAGUUCCUCAGCUGUCCAAAACACUGAAUUUGCUAAAGGACACCGAGAGCUCUUUCUAGACGUAAGAGAAAAAUAUCCUGACAGGUAUAUAAAAAAACCUUUCUCAGGAGGUAACCUGAGUUUGUGAUCACUCAACUUGUUUCAGUUUGAUUAUUUGUGAACAUUAUUUAAUUUUUAAUUUUCCUUUUGUCUCUCAUGGGCUUAGUGUAAUGUUAUCUACCUUGUAGCUGCUCCACACCUGCCUUUCAAGAAAUAAAAACAUUCCAGACAAAAGUUAAUUGUGUCAUCACAUCACCACCACUCUUCUUGAAUGGCUAGAAAGGAUAAAAUAGAAACUAACUACAGAUACGUUACUACACAGGAAGAGGACAAAAUUUUAUUUACUCUUCCUCUCACUCUUAGAAUAGACAUACCUAUUUUUCAUGGGGAGCACUUUAAACCAUUACAAAAUAUUAAACAGUAACUGUGCAUAAAGCAAAUGUGUCUAUAUGGUUAUAAUUCUUCUCAGCUCCACCACAAGGUUCAGGAUGUAAAUAUGCUGAGAGGAAAGAAGUAAUAAUAAAUAUUGCUUUCAAAACAGAAGAGAAAUAGGAAGAAAGAUCAAGCCAAAUAGAGGCUCAGGAAAGGGAAGAAAAUCUUACACCAACUUGGAAUGGAAAGUGAUGGGAUGCGUGGGGGAUCAUGGGGAUGGUGCCUCUGUCACGAGUGUUCACCUUAUGGAGCUUGUUACAGCCCGCAAUGAGAUCUGUAAACCCAGGAAAAGUACCUGGGUACACGUCAGACAGUAUGCUACAUGCUUUACAUACAUGCAGUCAGGAAGCACAUGCUUGGGGAGAUCGAAUAACUUGACUAAACAACAAAGCCAACACAACGAGUUAAGUUUCAGGCCAGUCUUUAAGCCCAAGCCUUUAUGUCCCUAAAGCUCAUCUAAUCACUACUGAUCCAAACUGUGUAUGUGCCAUUAGAAACACGGAACAAUAUUAAAAACAGUUCCAAGUCUAAAUCAAUUCCCAAAAAAGAAAAGCCGAACAAAUGGAAACCAAAUGUAAAAAAACUGACUCCUCUGGGAAAAAAAAAUCAUCUAUGUGAUUUUAACUAUGCUACAGUAUUUUGAUAAUAUUAUGGAUAGUGGGGUAACUUGCAUUUUUUCCAAGAGUAACUCUCAAUUUACGACUAAAACCUCUUUGGAAGUCCCCUGGUGGUCUGGUAGUUAGGACUUAAAUUUGUUGUGACCCAGAUUGAAUACCUGGCCUAAGACCUGAGAUUCCAUAUCAAGCUGCAGCCAAAAAU
rnacentral:lncRNA from 1 species